rnacentral:tRNA from 1 species
UGCCGUUGUAGCUCAGUCGGUAGAGCAAAGGACUGAAAAUCCUUGUGUCGACAGUUCGAUUCUGUCCGACGGCAUUUU